CGGCCCAGGGCUGGGCCCGGGCCCUCGGAUGUGCAGCGCUCCGCUGGGCGCCUUCCCGAGUCCCGGCCCGGACAGCACGCGCCGAGCGCCCAGCCGCCGCCCUCUCCCCUUUCCCCGCCCUCCCGCCCGCGCCUCUCCGCCCGCCUGCCCUCGUGGUCCCCGCGCUCCGCUGCCCUCGGGAUGCACUCGCCCCGCAGCGCGCCAGCCUCCUGGGGUCAGGUGCUUCCCCCCGAGGUUCGAGUCCCCGCUGGCCCUGGACCCCUCGCGUCACUGCCCCAGGCGCCAACGUGCCACGUAAAGGCUCCACGCUCCGCUGCCGCGGGGCCGCACGCACCACGCGCCCGGUCUUGUGCUUCUCCCUGGAGGUCCGAGUGCGCCGUUGCCCUUGGGCCCCUCGUGCCACUGCGGGCCAGGGACUGCACGCGCCUUGCGGCGUCAACUUCUUAGGGACAGCACGUGCCGCGCCAGGUGCCUUUCCCUCCAAGUCCCUGUGCGCCACCAGCCCGGAGUCCGCGUGGCCCAGCUGCCAGCACCUCCAGCCGACGCGGGGCACUCGGACCGGGUCCUGGGGUCCCGAGCCGGCUGAGAGCGACGCCUCACCUCGGAACUGGAUCAGCUGGGCCUUAUGCGCCCCUCCGUGGAGGCGCUGUCCCCAUCAGAACGCUGUGAGUCGGAGGCAGAUGUUGGGGUGACCUGUGGACAGAGGACCCGAGACACUGGUGGAGACCAUGAGUGUGAUAAACGCCAAGGAGCAACGUAUAGCCUGUGAGAAUGGCAGACACGUCGCUGGAGGAGGGCGGAGACGGUACCACGUUCUGCUGGCUCCAUGGACUGACUUACCCAGAGCCCGACUGAUAGAUACUGACUGGAAGCCGGGCCACUGUCUGCAGCCGAUAGUGUAUACACCUGGGACCGUAGAGGCCACUGUGCAAGGACAUGGGGCAUGCCUUCUGAGAAUGCAGCCAACACAGAGGAUGACAGAGACCAGACAUGGCCAGAGACAAAUUCCUGAUUAUAUCAUGAACACCUGGAUCCAGCCAUGCUUGAAGGUUGCAAGUAUGGCUUAGUACAGCAGACGGAUGCAGGACCUGUAAGAAGGAAAGUUGUUUCCAGUGUCCCCAAAACCAUGUUCUCCAAGGCACGUCCAUCGUGGGCUCUUCUCCAUCCUUCCAUCCGCUCGGACACCAGCUGCCUUUCUUUUCAUUCAUUCAUUUCAUGUAUCCCCCAAACAUGGGGGGUUUGAUGCCUAUGAUGUGUCAGGCGCAAAUGGAUGAACAUGCACCUGAUAUUCUACAUGAAUGCAUUCAGUCUUCACCACAGCACUGUGACGAAGGUACACUGCUCCCAUUUUACCGACAUGGAAUCUAAGACUCUGAGAAAUAAAAGAGACAGAGAUACCAGAUUUAAGUGGUGGAGCUUGGAUGAACCCUCUUUUUCUCCAAUUGUCUUACACAUGCAUCUUAUCUACCAGCUAUUAUAGCAGUUUCUGGAAAAGCAGAAGUUGGUGUCUUAUAUUUUGAGGGAAAGAGGUAGUGAGGCCUCCAGUGGGCUCUCAGGAAUAAACAACUAAAACCUCA